UAGCCGUAAACGAUACUCGCUAGGUGUCGGCCACGGUGCGACCGUUGUCGGUGCCGUAGGGAAGCCGUGAAGCGAGCCACCUGGGAAGUACGGCCGCAAGGCUGAAACUUAAAGGAAUUGGCGGGGGAGCACCACAACGGGUGGAGCUUGCGGUUUAAUUGGAUUCAACGCCGGAAAUCUUACCGGGACCGACAGCAACAUGAAGGCCAGGCUGAGGACUUUGCCGGAUUAGCUGAGAGGAGGUGCAUGGCGUAGUCGUGU
rnacentral:rRNA from 1 species